GGCGACUCUGCGCGUGUAACUACUCACCUAAGCGCCCAGUGGGGGCGAAGGUCCGGAGGGGGGAAAGCUCCAUAGAAGGAAGCGGCGGGGACGGGUGCUCCGCCGGGACCUAAUCGCACGCCGGACCGGCAACGCCAGCACAGCAGCAGCAGCGCCAUCCUGAAGCAGCGACGCUCGAUGGGAAAAGGGCCGAGGCUGCGCUGCUGCUGCCGCCCUUGCCGCGGGGGGCGCUGUCGAGCGAAAGAAGUUUACUCCCGAAGGAGGGGGGAGAAUUUGAGCAGAAAGGCCCGAAGAGAGCCGCCUCUCCCCACUCCUCCAUAGAAAUCCGCUCACGUGACUACUUACUACGGGCGGAAGGAGAUACUGCGGAUGCAAGAGGGGAAAGCGUGGCGUCUUUGCCUCGCUUCCUGAGCACGUGACCAUAGGCGGAACUGGAUGGGGAAAAUAUCUGUGGCCGAAGUAUGAACUGCUACCUUCGCUCCUCUCUCCCUGCCUCGGAUGUGAAUUUUGAGACUCGGGCGUUUAUAUUUUAAUAGAGGGAUUACCUGCCUUAGACUGCAGUGCUCACUUAUCUGGCUGAGCUUACUUGCUUCUGAGUAGACAUGUGAAACGGUGAAGGUUUGGACCUCCAGACUUUGCUGGACCACAGCUCCCAUCGUCCCUGGGUAUGUGCCUUGUUGCCUGGGGCUGAUGGGAGUUGGAGUUCAAGCGCGUUUGGGGAACCACGGGUUUACACUGCACGUCUGCGGGCAUGUACAUUACACGCUUUUAACUGCGAAUAAGCCCUAUUGAGCAUAGUGAGACUUUCUUAUGAGCAGACUUGCAGAGCAGCCAUAGUUUGCUGCAACAAAGCCAACCAAUAAUCCUUUGGCACCCCAAAGACUAACAAAUAUAUUCAUGACAUUAGCUUGCAUGGACUUGAGCCCCCUUCAUCAAACGCAGUUCUUUUGGAUCACGUGAACAUCAGAGAUGCAUCUAAUGAAGCUUACACACCAUGUUCUUGGAAACCCUGGCAAACAAAGACAACUAAAAGCAGAGGAAGAGGCUAAAACAGGAGGGGAACCUGUGGGCUUCCAGAUGUUGCUGGACUACCCUUCCCCUUAACCAUUGGCCAUGCUGGCUAGAGCUUUUGGAAGUCAAGAGACCCAACAACAUCUGAAGGAUAUCAGGGCAAUAACAUCCACUUGUUAAAAACCUCAAAAGUCUGAGUAAACAGACUUCAAGAUACCUAUGAACAAUAUGGCUCCCUUGGAAGAGAGUUCCUAAACUUGGGUGCAGCCACUGAGAAGGCCCUUUCCCUGGUCCCAACUAAAUCUGAGGACAGUGGAAUACACAGGACGGCAUCUGUUUUAAGAUCACAGCACAUGUACAAGUUGGGAGAGAGACCCAGGUAGAGAUGAGUGGUAGCAGGGAGGCAGACACACACUCCCAGUAAAGGAUUGUUAUUUGCUCACAAAAUGCUAGAGCUGGCAUAGUCAACGUGGUGCCCUCCAGGUGUUGUGGAUAUCAAGUCACAGCUAGCAUGGUCAAUGAUCAGGGAUUAUGAGAAUUGUACCAUGGAGCUGAACAGCUACUGAUUGGCUAGGAGCAUCCAGUGCAGUCACAGAACACUCCCAUCAUUCUUUGGAGGAAGUCACAUACUUUAAAUGUAUGGUGUCUACACAGACUCAGCUGCCCCUGACUCUGGAGGCUGAGGAGAACUGAUAGUUGGGAAAGCAUUGAAAAUGGUUCUACCUAUGGUGAUCCAGGAGAGACAGUAAAGAAGAAGCGAGUUUUGAGGACUGAUUGAAAGCAGAGAUGGAAGAGACCUGAAAGUGGUGAACGAUUAAGAAGGACAGGACACAAAUGCAGCCAUGAGAGAGGGGAAUAAAAAGCAGGGGGUUUAAUGGUCAUGUAAUAUCAGUGUGUGCAGAGAAGGAAAGGGGGAGAUAUAUAAGGAUCUUCAAAGUGGUGAAAACACUGCAGGGAAUUUGAAAAGUGAGAUGGCAAGAAAUGGCCUUAGGAUGGAUUCCUUUGGUUUGAAACAAAGCAACCCUAUCCAAGCCUCAAAAGUGGAUCCAAGAAUAACAACUGAUCAUUGCACACUACAAUCUCCGCAUAUAUUUUCUUCCAU